rnacentral:rRNA from 1 species
UACGGAGGGGGCUAGCGUUGUUCGGAAUUACUGGGCGUAAAGCGCACGUAGGCGGCUUUGCAAGUUAGAGGUGAAAGCCCGGGGCUCAACUCCGGGAUUGCCUUUAAAACUGCAUCGCUAGAAUUGUGGAGAGGUAAGUGGAAUUCCGAGUGUAGAGGUGAAAUUCGUAGAUAUUCGGAAGAACACCAGUGGCGAAGGCGACUUACUGGACACAUAUUGACGCUGAGGUGCGAAAGCGUGGGGAGCAAACAGG